CUUUUCCCCCAGGGCAUCACCCGGUACCCGCAAGCCUCGGUGUCCCCCACGGGCUCUGUGCUCAGCAGCUCCUUGCGCUUGUGCUCAGGGCUCUUUGCUCGGCCUGAGGCUCGGCAGCGUGAACCGAGCCUGCAGGUGCCAAGACCUCAUCGCUAAUGACCCCGAAACAGCCUGUGGUGGGACAUUGGCUCUCCAGGAUGGUGGGACAAGGAGAGGGUUGAAGAUCAGUUCAUGGCUUGCGGCAUGAACUGGGAACUGCAGCAGUGACUGGGAACUGGAUCAAGAGACAGACAGUAGUGCCCACUACACAUCAUCAGAGUGAAGCAGCAAACAAGUGAGAAUGUCUUAAGGGACUCAUUAAAAGAAUGUCUCAUUGAAGAAAUGACUGAGGACAUUUGGCAUCAAAAUAAUUCAUCUUUUUCUCCAAACAUUUUAGGUCUUCAGGAUGAGGGCAGUAUGCACACCUAAAGUGGGAGUAACUCCGUAGGAGUUAUGUACAGACAUUCUGUAAAUAAACAUAGAAAAUUACUCUAGAUCUGUAUCUUC
rnacentral:lncRNA from 1 species